rnacentral:misc_RNA from 1 species
GAUGAAGAACGUAGCGAAAUGCGAUAAGUAAUGUGAAUUGCAGAAUUUAGUGAAUCAUCGAAUCUUUGAACGCACAUUGCGCCCGCCAGUAUUCUGGCGGGCAUGCCUGUUCGAGCGUCAUUACAACCCUCAGGCCCCCGGGCCUGGCGUUGGGGAUCGGCGGAGCCCCCCGUGGGCACACGCCGUCCCCCAAAUGCAGUGGCGGUCCCGCCGCAGCUUCCAUCGCGUAGUAGCUAACACCUCGCGACUGGAGAGCGGCGCGGCCACGCCGUAAAACACCCAACUCUUCUGAAGUUGACCUCGAAUCAGGUAGGAAUACCCGCUGAACUUAAGCAUAUCAAUAAGCGGAGGA